GGGUUGUGAGGUUAAGCGACUAAGCGUACACGGUGGAUGCCCUGGCAGUCAGAGGCGAUGAAGGACGUGCUAAUCUGCGAUAAGCGUCGGUAAGGUGAUAUGAACCGUUGUA
rnacentral:rRNA from 1 species